UACAGAGGGGGCAAGCGUUGUUCGGAAUUACUGGGCGUAAAGGGCGCGUAGGCGGCCUGCUAAGUCGAACGUGAAAUCCCCGAGCUCAACUCGGGAACUGCGUCCGAUACUGGCAGGCUUGAAUCCGGGAGAGGGAUGCGGAAUUCCAGGUGUAGCGGUGAAAUGCGUAGAUAUUGGGAGGAACACCGGUGGCGAAGGCGGCCCCCUGGACCGGUACUGACGCUGAGGCGCGAAAGCGUGGGUAGCAAACGGG
rnacentral:rRNA from 1 species